CCGGAUGUGACUUAGAUCUUUGAAGGGAGAAGAUAGGGGCUUGGGCAGGUGGGGAGGGACCCGAAGCGCUCAGUGUUGGGUUGAGUCCCUUCUCACUCGGGAAAGGGGUAGACUUGCAGAGUCAUCACCUGCCCAGGACUCCACUGACCCUUUGUCCUCUCAAGGGCCAUAGUCUCACCUCCAAAAGAAUUGAGAAAAAGAGGGGAAACCCCCAACAACCACAGCAUGUGUCAACGUAAUUUCGCAGGCGCCGCGGAGGGAGUAUAUCCUGCCAGGGGCCCGCUGGCCAAGGUCUUAAUAGACUCGGCUCUUCCAAGAAAUGGACCCAGAACCAAUGGAGCUGAAGGUGGCCGGACCGGGGCUCAGUGGCCGAGGGGACCAGGCAUUGGCUGCGCUCCCAUUACUUCGUUAAGCGGUGUCAUGCUUCCUCCCCUGUCUCUGUCUCUGUCUCUCUCUCUUUUUAAUUUUUUCCCUCCUACUGUGAGAACUGUUCACUUGGAGACUCCCUGUCUUAAUUACAAAGAGCCCUUUUAACCAUAGGUCACAGGACUUGGCUCUCUUGACGGGAAAUAAGGAAACAAGCUACCUUCCUGGAAAAAAAAAAUCAAACUUCCACUUCUCAAAUUAGUUAAAUGAAGCUUAUCAACGGUUGGGAGUUGAGACUUUGACAGUUGGCUAAUUGCAGUUGGUACAUUAACUAUGUUUUAACCAGAGCUGUUGGGGAUGUAAGUAAAUAAAAAAAUAAAGCCCAGGCUCUUCCAGGGGGAAGGCAAAGUGCCGAAGCAAUGAGGAAAAAAAUGUUAAAGGGUUUAAUCUCAGUCUUUCUGGCUGUAAGUAUCAUAAUACGGAAUGGAGUCCAGGCCUUUAACAUUUUAAUUAAAUAGAUUCACAAGCAUUAACAUUUUUAAAAAUGACUUUGAGAUCACUUUCAAUCUGAGGAAGUUCCCUCUCUCUCUCUCUCUCUCUUUCUCUCUUUUGAUUCUACCUUCAAAAUAUCCUCUGCCUGUAUAGUUUAGUAUGAAAUAUGCUAUGGAAGAUCUCCCUAGCAAAUAUCUGGUUCCUCGUCUGUGUACACCAGUCUCAAAUACAGAACGUUUUCAAAAGAAGAUAAAUCUUAGUGGAAUUGGUUUAUUUUCUGAUCUGCAAUUCUUUAACAUUAUUACAGAAGAUGGAAUAUCAGUUACGGUGAGGUAUAGAACUGCAGCAAGAAACGUCCACUCCAGUGACUUCCUUAUGGAAGGGCUAUUAUAAGGCCAACAGAGAGCAAGCAACCUAGAUUUAGGAAAAUAUAAUGGUGUUUCUGUGUACUUAAUUUAUCAUUUGUACUCACACGUAGUGUCAGAGUGGUAUUUAUAGUGUGGCCCGAGUUACAGGAGUAUAAAAGAAUGAGAAGUCUAAGAAGACAUAUUAUUACAUUCUUCCAGCUUAGAUUUUAGCUAUAAUUUUAGUAAUGUUCUUUCAUGCUGUUUUGUCUUCUAACAGAUUCCACAGUUCCUUAUGUCUCUCUGGAUGUGUGUAUGUGUAUAUAUAUGUUUAUACAUAUAUACAUAUAUAUUUAUUGAA